rnacentral:rRNA from 1 species
UGGGUUUGACAUAUUUCGGACCGCUCUAGAGAUAGAGCUUCUCUUCGGAGCUGAAUUAC